AUUGCAUAUACCAAUGGAAAACUCUAUAACCAAAUAUUGAAAUCUUGGAAGAUUCCAGGUGCAGAAUAAACAUUUUCUGAAGAUUUGGAGCUAAAUAAAAAUAAUAUACAGGAUUUCAAUAUAGUUGAAGAUGAGCUAGUAUUUGAUGGUAUGGA